rnacentral:rRNA from 1 species
UACGGAGGGACUAGCGUUGUUCGGAAUUACUGGGCGUAAAGCGCACGUAGGCGGCUUUUAAGUCAGGGGUGAAAUCCUGGAGCUCAACUCCAGAACUGCCUUUGAUACUGGGAAGCUUGAGUCCGGAAGAGGUGAGUGGAACUCCGAGUGUAGAGGUGAAAUUCGUAGAUAUUCGCAAGAACACCAGUGGCGAAGGCGGCUACCUGGACCGGUUCUGACGCUGAUGCGCGAA